CAUUCUACUUUUUUAGGUUCAAGGUGUUUGCAGAUUAUGAAGCUUACAUGAAAAGCCAAGCGAAAGUGGACCAAUUAUACAUGAAUCUCAGGGAAUGGACCAAGAAAGUCAUCAAGAACAUUGCUUGCUCUGGCAAGUUCUCCAGUGAUAGAACAAUAAGUGAAUAUGCCACUGAAAUCUGGGGGGUGGAACCAUCCGCUGUGAAGAUUCCUCCACCCAACAUACCCAGGGAAUAGAUAUAUGGAGGUGCAUGUGCUCACUGUUCUCCGCUGGUAGUUUGGUUGGCUCAGGAUUAGUGUUUGUUCACCAGUUGUGAUUGCUUUUCCCAUCAGAGCUUAGCCUUGCUAUUGGGAAAACAUCCUGAUUGCAUUAUUCAACACUGACUCUCUGCAGUUGUGCUGCUCACAAUAUUUGGGUUUGAUCUACAUUCUGGGCCUGGCUAUGUAACUAGGCCAGUGGCAAGACAGUACUGAGGUCAUCUACUGAAGUCAUAGGCAGUGCUUCCAUAAUAUGUUAACUAAGGAAGCAAGGGCAGUCUCUGCAGUUUCUUUCAUAGAGAACACAACCCAUAUUCAUGUUAGGUCAUACAGGAUUGAACCACUUGCAGUCCACUGAAUAAUAAUUAACCAUAGCCAGUAAUUGUGCUCAUUCUGUACACUGUUUUAUAACUUGUUUCUUUUUUUUGUCCUGUAUGAACAAAUAGGAAACACACGUGAGAUGGUUCUUCUGCAUUUCACAUUGACUCCAUGUAGUACAGCUGUAUCAUAAUGUUUUAGUCAAAUAGCACUAAUAGUUUUAUUUUAUUCAGUUUUUAGCUUAUGAACAUCUUUAGGCUUUUAUCAGUGAGGGAAUGUAGAGAGUCGAGGCAUUGUGCAGAAUGCAGUGACCCAUGAAUCCAAUCACAUUGCAGUCUGCUUUAGUCCCAUUAUACGUCAUUUCUGAUAUGUUGCUAGUGAUUACUGCACUGUUGCCCAUCAUCGCUACUCUUUGCACUACUUUAUUGAAUAAGCCUGCGUGUCAGAAAAAGCAUAAGUGACAAUGGGGACAUUUUGGUCAUACAAGGCUUAUUCACAAAGGGCAUUUUCCCCAUGCAGAGUAGAUAUGUGACCUUAAAUGGUAAGGAAUAAAGUACCCUCUAAGGAAAGAAUGGUGCAUAGAGUAUGUGUUGCCUUGACAUAAGCCAUUAGGAAAGGCUCAUUUAGAGUGUCUUAUAAAGUUUUAAAUACUGUAAUAAAAGCAAUCUAGUAGCUGCAAAAUAGUGACACAGAGCAAACACUUUCCAACACUGCGGUGGACCAUCUGUAGGAAUGUGGCCGUCAUAUCCUUGCUCUCCGCACAACCUGGUGAAGGGAACAUCGAGCAAGCUUGGCGUGAAACUUUGUAAAUCAUGUGUUUGUCUUUGCAAAGAUGCCGUCGCUUUAGCAUUUGUGUGUGUGUUAUUCCAAAGUACUGUAUUUCUAACUAAAGGUUUGCACGUUAUAACUCCACCUUCGUGUUUGUGGGUCUUAUUCCUUUAAUAAAACUACUAUCUACUCUCA